UGAGAAAAGAUAAAUUUUUAUCAGAAAUGUAUGUGUUUGUGUGUGUAUGUAUUAUUUUAUGUAUAUUCAUCACACUAAAUACCGAAGAAUACACAUGGUUCAGUAACACUAGUGAUUUCAGGCACUCACUAUGACUUUAGAUCUUUCUCCUUUGGGUGAGGUUUCAAGUUUAUUCACCAUGUCUUGUGUAGUUUGAACAGAAAUCAGCAGAGGGCGAUGCCUCUUCAGGUUGGGUCUCAUCACCACUCAUCCAGGCAGUGGCUUUAUGUUACAGACUGUCACUGUGCGGAAGGAAGUCCUUGUUUAUGAGUUUCAAUAAGGUCCUGAGGAGACUUGCCUGUGAGUUUGGAGAACUCAAGAACCAAGUGUCAUUGACUUCUAUGAACAUGCUUCCUGACACCUGCUCAGUCCUUGUGCUCCUGUUAAUGCUCAGGAGGAGCAAUGGAGACUCAGUGACCCAGACAGAAGGCCUGGUUACUGUUACAGAGGGGUCACCUGUGAUGCUGAACUGCACCUAUCAGACUACUUACGCAGUUUCUUACAUUUCAUGGUAUGUCCAAUAUCCCAAGAAAGUUCCUCUGUUACUGCUGAGGAGUUCCACAGACAACAAGAGGACAGAGCACCAAGGGUUCCACGCCACUCUCCAGAAGAGCAACAGCUCCUUCCACCUGCACAAGUCCUCAGUACAGCUGUCGGACUCUGCGCUGUACUACUGUGCUCUGAGUGACACAGUGAGGGAGACUGCAGGGGAAGCUGAACACAAACCAAGGGUGUAGGAGGGCUGAGGGGAGUGGUCUUGUGAGGGAGAGCUUCAUGCCUUGUCUUCAUGGGUUUUACCCAGCUCCUGAUAAACAGUAACAAAGCUCAGGUCAUAUCCCUAGAAAACUAGGAAUUUGGGGAUAUUCUUACAGAACAGGGUGGAACUCAUUGGCAGAGACAACAUGGGUUUUGAUCCCCUUUAAUAUUGUUCUCUCC